CGGAUUAGUGGCGAACGGGUGAGUAACAUAUCGGAACGUACCCAGUAAUGGGGGAUAACUAGUCGAAAGACUGGCUAAUACCGCAUACGCCCUGAGGGGGAAAGCGGGGGAUCGAAAGACCUCGUGUUAUUGGAGCGGCCGAUAUCUGAUUAGCUAGUUGUGGGGUAAAGGCCUACCAAGGCGACGAUCAGUAGCUGGUCUGAGAGGACGACCAGCCACACUGGAACUGAGACACGGUCCAG
rnacentral:rRNA from 1 species